CAAUAGCGUAUAUUAAAGUUGUUGCAGUUAAAAAGCUCGUAGUUGGAUUUCUGCUGAGGACGAUCGGUCCGCCCACUGGGUGAGUAUCUGGCUCGGCCUUGGCAUCUUCUUGGAGAACGUUGCUGCACUUGACUGUGUGGCGCGGUAUCCAGGACUUUUACUUUGAGGAAAUUAGAGUGUUUCAAGCAGGCGCACGCCUUGAAUACAUUAGCAUGGAAUAAUGAGAUAGGACCUUGGUUCUAUUUUGUUGGUUUCUAGAGCUGAGGUAAUGAUUAAUAGGGAUAGUUGGGGGCAUUCGUAUUUAACUGUCAGAGGCGAAAUUCUUGGAUUUGUUAAAGAUGGACUACUGCGAAAGCAUUUGCCAAGGAUGUUUUCAUUGA
rnacentral:rRNA from 1 species